GGAAGGAUCAUUACCGAUGUUAAAUUGUCUACCUUCAGUGCUGGCUCUUUCAAGAGCAUGUGCACGUUGGGGGGCAUUUAUAUCGACCACCCAUUUGUGCACCUUUGCCUCUGCUGGCUUCGGCUGGCUGAGGAUUUUUUACACCCACACGAAUGUAACGAAUAAUAAUGUUGUGCUGAGCACUACAAAUGUACAACUUUCAACAACGGAUCUCUUGGCUCUCGCAUCGAUGAAGAACGCAGCGAAAUGCGAUAAGUAAUGUGAAUUGCAGAAUUCAGUGAAUCAUCGAAUCUUUGAACGCACCUUGCACCCUUUGGUUUUCCAAAGGGUAUGCUCGUUUGAGUGUCAUUAUACUCUCACACUCUCUAAUUAUUAGAGAGCGGUGGAAUUGGGUGUUGCCUGGUACUUGCUGUCAGGCUCAUCUCAAAUGCGUUAGUGCGACUGCUAGUUGGACAUAGUACGGCGUGAUAAGUAAACCCUCGCUGUUUUCUGUCUGAUUAGGAGCUCUGUGCUUCAAACGGUCUUCGGACAAUCUCUGAUAACUUGACCUCAAAUCGAGUAGGACUACCCGCUGAACUUAAGCAUAUCAAUAAGCGGAGGAAAAGAAACUAACAAGGAUUCCCCUAGUAACGGCGAGUGAAGAGGGAAAAGCUCAAAUUUUGAAUCUGGCGUCUUUGGCGUCCGAGUUGUAAUCUAGAGAAGUGUUUUCCGUGGCGGACCGUGCACAAGUCUCCUGGAAUGGGGCAUCAUAGAGGGUGAGAAUCCCGUAUAUGGCAUGGACUACCGUUACUCUGUGAUACACUCUCAACGAGUCGAGUUGUUUGGGAAUGCAGCUCUAAAUGGGUGGUAAAUGCCAUCUAAAGCUAAAUAUUGG
rnacentral:misc_RNA from 1 species